CUUAAAAUUUAUAUUCAUCACCCUAGUGAAGAUAUUAGGCUGACAUAUAUAUCAUANUUCAANNNNNNNNNNNAUAGGGUUAAAAUUACCCAAUUAUAAAAAAAUUGUUUAAAAUUUUUUGUAACAGAUGUUUGAUUAUAGUAAUGGUUGUUUAUUUNAAACAUUUWGRAUUUAACUAUUUUUGAAUUAGUAAUAAAAAAAAAAUAAUCAUUUCUCAAGUUUUGCCCGUCUGUUUAUUAAAAACAUUUCCAUAUUAAACAUUUUAUGGUAUUACCUGCUCUAUGUUUAUUAUAAAUGGCCGCAGUAUCUUGACUGUGCGAAGGUAGCAUAAUUAAUUGCCUUAUAAUUGAAGGCUUGUUUGAAUGGUUUGACGUGGUAAAUACAAAUGUUUAUUUUUUUUCUGAAAUUUAUUUAGAGGGCACAGAAUCCUCUUCUUUUAAUUAGACGGAAAGACCCCAGGAUCUUUGUUUUUUUGUCUGGGGCAGACUUUUAUAUUUCAUAAAUAUUUUGAUCCUUUAGAGUAUAAUGAUUUAAGUUACCCUGGGGAUAACAGUGUAAUAGUUUANNNNNNUUCUUAUCAAAUAAACUGUUUGCUACCUCGAUGUUNNNNNNNAUANNNNGGGUAGGCGCAGUAGUCUAUUCUUUUGGUCUGUUCGACCAGUUCUACCUCCA
rnacentral:rRNA from 1 species